rnacentral:pre_miRNA from 11 species
CCGCUCACAAAGUGGUUGUGAUAUGCUGAUACGAGCGUUCAUAUCACAGCCAGCUUUGAUGAGCGUGG